rnacentral:rRNA from 1 species
GAUCCUGGCUCAGGAUGAACGCUAGCUACAGGCUUAACACAUGCAAGUCGAGGGGCAGCAUGGUCUUAGCUUGCUAAGGCCGAUGGCGACCGGCGCACGGGUGAGUAACGCGUAUCCAACCUGCCUUACACUCUUGGACAGCCUCCUGAAAGGGAGAUUAAUACAAGAUGUUAUCAUGAGUAAGCAUUUUCGCAUGAUUAAAGGUUUACCGGUGUAAGAUGGGGAUGCUUCCA